CAAUAGCGUAUAUUAAUGUUGUUGCAGUUAAAAAGCUCGUAGUUGGAUUUCUGGUGGGAGUGGCCGGUCCGCCGUAAGGUGUGUACUUGGUUGUCUCCCGUCAUCCUUGUGGGAACUGCUCUGGCAUUAAGUUGUCGGGGUUAGGGAACACAUCGUUUACUGUGAAAAAAUUAGAGUGUUUAAAGCAGGCUUAUGCCGUUGAAUACAUUAGCAUGGAAUAAUAAGAUAGGACUUUGGCGUCUAUUUUGUUGGUUUGCACACCAAGGUAAUGAUUAAUAGGGAUAGUUGGGGGUAUUCGUAUUUAAUUGUCAGAGGUGGAAUUCUCAGAUUUGUUAAAGACUGACUUAUGCGAAAGCAUUUGCCAAGGAUGUUUUCAUUAAUCAAGAACGAAAGUUAGGGGAUCAAAGAUGAUCAGAUACC
rnacentral:rRNA from 1 species